rnacentral:tRNA from 1 species
GCUCCGGUGGUGGAAUAGGUAGACACUGGGGAUUUAAAAUCCCCUGCCGUAUGGCGUGCCGGUUCAAUUCCGGCCCGGAGCACCA